UCCGUAGGAAGGAGUUUAGUGUA
rnacentral:siRNA from 1 species